AGAGAGAGAAGGGCUUUAGGCAUUCACACUUAUCGGUAAACUGAAAAGAUGCGGAAGAAGCUUGAGUGAAGGCAAGGUCGCUUAAGAAGGGAAACCGGGUUUGUAGCUCAGCUGGUUAGAGCACCGCUUGAUAAGCGUGGGGUCGGAGGUUCAAGUCCUCCCAGACCCACCAAGAACGGGGCAUAGCUCAGUUGGUAGAGCACCUGCUUUGGAAGCAGGGGUCAUCGGUUCGAUCCCGUUUGCCUCCACCAAAACUUAACAAAUGAAAGCAAGUAUGCUGUUUUUAGCAGCUUAUUUUGAUUUGCGAAGUAGAAUAACGACGCAUCGAUCUUUAACAAAUUGGAAAGCCGAAAUCAACAAACAAAGACAAUGAGUUUGUUUUGAUUUUAUAUUCUUUGCAAAGGAUAAAAACCUCUCGCAAGAGAAAAGAAAACAAACAUAGUAUUUGGGUGAUGAUUGUAUCGACUUAAUCCUGAAACACAAAAGGCAGGAUUAAGGCACAACAAAGCAGUAAGCUUUAUCAAAGUAGGGAUUUCAAGUUUGCUUACUUAGUCAACGGGUAGGUAAACGAAGUCAAAGAAGUUCUUGAAAUGAUAG
rnacentral:tRNA from 1 species